AUGGCGCUGACAAGGCCGGACAGCGGCCAAAGUGGCGACCCAAACGGACAAAAUGUGCAUCCGUUUGGAGUUGGCCUUAGUCACCACAUCCCUACAUUGUAUCAGAGGACGGGGCGUGAGGAGAUGACGGUGGCGACGGCCGCUGAGGCAGCAGGAUCCGGCAAGCAGACGUCGAAUCUGGGCAAGCAGCAUGCGAGGAAGCGGGGCUGCGUGCGAGCUUGUGGUGUAGCAAGGCAGCGCAGACGUCGACGGGACUUCUUCCCCUGGUUGCUGGCUCUUGAGGUUGGACAGGAAAGAGGUGGAAGAAGAGGUCUUGCUGGAGAAGGGGACAAGCUGCUGUUGCUGCGCAAGGGGAGGCGCGGCUCGGCUAAGGGAGGAGGAUACAAAGGCCAAAAGGCCAAAACACGCGGAUGGACCGGAGGGGUCCGGGCACCCGGGCAACAUGGGCCGGGCACCCGGCCCGCACAGGGGGCGGCUGUAGGGAGGCUGGGCACCCGGGGGCCCAAGGCCCGGGCACCCGGGGGCGCGCUGGAGGCCGGCUGGAGGGCUGUUGGGUGCAGUGGCACUGUGGGUGAUGAGCUGCUGCUGCUGGGUGUUGUGCUGCUGCUGAAUUUUUUUGCUGCUGCUGAUUGGAGAGGGAGACGGAGGCAGCACUGGGUGGGUGGAUCGCAUUGCCAACGAAUUGUUCAAGCAAAGCCCGGGUUUCAAGGAGGGAGGAAGAAACAAAGGAAGCCGGAUGGAAAUAGGAAGGAGAAGGAGAGGGUGAAGAGGUCGGCCGAGGCGGUUUCUUUGAGGGAUCAAAUUGGUGAUAUGGUGAAGAUCAAAGAAACUUUGUUGGCCAAGCAUUUGGCAACAAAGGUUGAAUUGACCGAGAAGAAAGACAAGCAGAAAGAGAAGUGGGCGAGGAGGUCUGUCUUCGAGGAGCGCAAGAUUGCUCUAGAGGAGCAAAGGAGAGAUGAGAAGACCGCCGAGGAGGACCGGUUCAUGGUGAUGAAUCCGGAGGGCAUGGAUGUGAUGACAAGAGAAUUUUGGGAGAUGAAAAGGAUGGAGAUCAUGUGCUGGAGGAGGGUGGAGCUUCAAAAUCUUAUGGCCGGUGGUGGUGGUUUUGCUUUCGGCAAUGGUGGGUUUGGAGGUUUUGGAGGAGGGUUUGCAUUCGGCAAUGGUGGUGGGGGUGUUGGGUUUGGAGGUGGAGGUGGUGGUCUUGGGUUUGGAGGUGGUGGUGGCGAUGCUUCGGCCAACGGUGGUGAAGAUGCUUCAGCCGGUGGUGUGGAUGCUUCGGCCAACGAUGGUGAUGGUGGUGAUGCUUCGGCCAUCCCAAAUGAUGAUGAAGAUGGUGCUCGUGCUAUGGCGGGUGGUGGGACGGACGAUCUUUCCUGCGUGUGCUUCGAUCAUAUGGAAGAACAUAUAGGGCCAACCGACCAGCCCCGGGCCGAGACUAGCUGGCCCGUGCCAAACAAUAAAGCAACUCGAAAAUUGUGGAGAUGGCCCCGAAGGUCGCUCGGGGUUAUCCUUUUUGUGCGCGGUGCAAAGAUAUGCGGACGGGAGCUCGCAUUGCUUUUCGCGCAGACAGGGCGAAGGUGUCUUCCUGCAGACGGCCCGAGCCUCCGGUUGGUCCGGGGGUGGCCUAGCUGCCGAAGCAGGUGGCAGGGAGCCGGUCGCGUGGUGUGCGGUGCGAGGCGAUGCGGGCGCGGAGCCAGCUGGAGCGGCGAGCUGACAGUCGGGACGCGGCCGGUGCGGGCGCGGAGCCGGUUGGAGCGGCAAGCCGGCAGGAGCGGGGUAGAGACGACUGGAGCGGGGCGAGCUCGCGAGCAUGUGGGCAUGGCCCGAGCCGGGGUGCACGGACGUCAGGGACGGGGCGGCACGGUCGUCGAGACGAGGCGCACGGACGCCGGGAACGGAGCAGGCGCGGUCGGCGAGAUGACGAGGAAGCGCGGCCGUGGGGGCGCUUGGGAGCUGCGGUGCGGCCCAGCUCCUCCGCAACCAUUGGGUGUUGUCGGGGACGGGGCGGCGCGGCCGCAGCGGGACGGCGGCGAACGACACGGGGCUCCCGAAGCGGGAAGAGGCGGUGGAGUCAUUGGGCAGCAAGAGGAGCGCGACGGUGAGGUCAAGCGCGGCGAGCGAGCGAAGCGGCGACGCGAGGGUGAGCCCGCUGGAGCGGGCCGAGUGCGGCGGAGACCCAGGCGACACACUCGGCAUUGGUGGUUGAGGACGGGGCCAACACAGGAAGCGCCGUGGGAGGCGGGCGUCGGGCAAAGGGUGUCCAGGCCCGGCAACGGACUGGCGAGGAAAGGGGCGUUAAGCGCGGUGCCGAGACGGGCCGGCUGGCCUGGUCGCCGGCGCGAGGAGGCAUUGCCUCGUGCCCCUCGGGCGCGCGGGCGUCGGGGCAAGGGAGGUCCGGUUGCUUGGCGCGAGGACGGUGACAGCUCGGGGAAGCACUGUCUGGCCGUCGAGCGGGGGUUGAGCACGACGGCGUCCAGAACGGAGGGCAUCUGGCGGCGGGGAGCAGCGACCAGGGAGACAAGGCAGAGAGGGGCUUGCGGGGAAGAGAGCAGCGACGGGAGGCACUCGGUGUCGAUCUGCAGAGGAAUGGAGGACCACGGCAUCGGCGGUGAGGCAGGCAGGUGCACUGCGCGCAGAACGGCACGACGUCGGGCUUGCGGGCGGCCAGAGUCGGUAUGGUGGCGGCGGAUGACUUGCAGAGACGAAGACGCGCGGCUGCCGGAGCUGGAGGUCGAGGAAAGCCGGCUCAGCGCGGCAGGCGCGGCGAUGGAGCUUGGGAGGCUGGCAAAGAGUGAGGGAGUGAGGCCGGGAGCCGGCGGCCAUGGGGGGAAUGCGGUGCACGAUGGGGAGCGAGGGGAACGGAGUAGAGCAGCCGUGAGCAUUGAGGGUGCGGGGAGGGGCGUUCACGAGCAUGACUCCACGGGAGGCUCCCUGGCACGCCUUAUAGGCUGGUGCCUAGGGGACAGGGAAGGGCCCGCGGCGCCUAACAGCACUGUAGACGAUGACGCAUUACGGGCGCGCAGUGCCCGCUUAUUCAUCAACAGUGGCCAGGGUGUGGACGUCUUGUCCGCGCAGGUCCGAUGUGACGUCGCGGUUGACUUCGGGCAGCCGGUUGGUCGGAGCAGUCGGCCGGGGCAGGCAGGCAGCUUGCCCGGCUCGCCGUCUUGGGACUACCCGGGGGUCACACCCCCCGCCCCCCCCCGACAAGAUGCGAAUUGA
rnacentral:rRNA from 1 species